UUUUUAAUGCUUCUUUUUUUUUAAGUUUUUUUGGAAGUUUUAUACAGUUUUAUUACUUCUUUUUAUUAGUGCUUUUCUUUAGUUUUUUAUUGUUUUAAGUUCCGUACUCUAGUGAUAACAAUGAAUAAAAUAGUGAAAAAAAACUACAGUUUAGUUGUUACUAUGUUCGAAUGAAAAAUAAACGGAUUUACUAAUUUUCUAUCAUCUUUUAUUUUUUUUGUAUGUAGUAUUGAUAACUGGGGAUGCCAUCGAUGUUAGUUAUAACCGUCUUUUUUUAUAUGAUUAUUAUAUAUCUUCAAUUAUGUUAGAGGCAUUAUUGCUACAUUAAUCC